CAAAUGCAUUACCUCACAUAGUUAUCAUUUUUGUGAGGGGAAUACUUAAUAUCCACCCUCUUGGCAUUUUUUAAAAGUACAAUACCUUGUCCUUAAGUAUGGCCUUCAUGUUGUACAAUAGAUCUCUUGAACUUAUUUUGUUACCCAUUCUUAUUUGCAGCACUAGAUGAGAAAACCAGUUUUGUUCAAAGCACAAAAUUUUAGAAAUGAAUCAUUUUAUCUUCAGCCCCCUCCCCCAGUCUCCUACAUAGAUCCUAAAAAACAAACAAAAAAACGACUGGUAAAACUGGUAAAGGAAGGUAGGGUUUCUAAUAAGGCUUUUAAGUAUUUUCACACAAUACACUCGUUUUCUGUCUUUUUCCUUUCUCCUUUGGACACAUACAAUCCAAAAUGUGGUGUAGUCUCUGUGUAAUCUCAGUUCUCUUAUUUUUUCACAGUGGAAAGAUCCCGGUUGCCCAAUUGCAAGGGGCAGUGAGAGAGUACAUUGUAAAUUGUUUGUAGAUUUACUUUGUUUUCUUUAUGAAAAAAAGAGAGUAGGAAAUUGGGGAAUUUUAAAUAGUUCUUUUUUCCUUGUUUCUCACCGUUUUGUUUAAAGUUUUUCUUUCUUUCUUUUUCUUUUUCUUUUUUUUCCUGGCUUGAAAUACAGCUGAAAUAACUGAAUUUUCUACUUGAAACGUGUGUGCCUCUCCACUGAGGGGCCAAGGCCCUGGAAAUGUAAAGGGCCAAUCUUUGUUACAGAGGGGUUCAUUGCAGUGAAGGGCGGGUUCUGCAAAGACAAACAGGUCUCACAGAUAGUUGCCAAGGGCACCGAAUACAUCUUUGCAUUACACCUUGAACUAGCAUGCUCAUAUCACCUGUUUUUAUUGCAUGCACCAUAAAUGACUGUAAAAGUUUGCAAAUCUUGUAGAGACCUUGGCAAUCAAUACUUCAGCAGGAAAUCUACAAAGAGGGGAGUGGGAAGAGAAGGGAUCCAGCCUAGUAGUUUGCCUAUUUGUUACAAGAACCAUACCUUGACAUUGAGAAUUAUUAAGUAACGGAGUCUGGGAACAUUCCUGUGGCCUUCCUUAAACUGAACUUACUCUGGGUGCUUCUGAUCUGUGACUUGAGCGCAAAAUAAAGACUAAUUUUUAUCUGGGUCAAUGUGGGGCCAACUAGGGUGGCCGGUCCUGAAGGCCACGCCUGCAGCUUUAGUGUUUUUAAAUGUCUGACCACCAAACGGGUCAUGCAAGUGUAUGGACUUUUUUCUUUUCUUUUUAGAGUCUGCACAGUGAUGGUAGGACUGGGAGUACUAAUCAAUCCCUGUGCCAUGUUCAAUCGGUCUGUUCUACUGAUUUUUUUCUUGUUGUUCUUGUUUCACCGUGUUAAAUUUAAGUCUUUAAGAAGUGGACGCCCCGUGGAAAGCCCGACAAAUGAAACAGUAGAGGAGGGUACCAAAGUCCCGGGGUCCCAGUUGCAGUCCGCUAUUGCUCCAGGCCCAGCGGGGGCGGACCUCGUUGGAGGCUACGGUGCAGGUCGGAGAAGAUGAAAUGGCCUAGCAUCCCCCUUCCCAGGGGCUCGAGUCGGCAGCUUUAGAGCUCCGACAAUCUGUGCCCUCGCUUUGGGCUGCGCCAGGGAGCAAAAAACCUCUGCUUUUUUGAAAGAGGCCGGGGCAACAAGGUAGAGAGCCGCGGCCAGAAGCAGCCCCGGG
rnacentral:lncRNA from 1 species